rnacentral:rRNA from 1 species
AACGCACCUUGCGCUCCUUGGUAUUCCGAGGAGCAUGCCCGUUUGAGUGUCGUGAUAUCAUCAGGCGCCCUCUUCUUCCGGAGGCUGGCGCUUGGAUUUGGAUGUGCUGCCGGGCGGCGACGCUCGGCUCGUCCUAAAUGUAUUAGCGAGACCCCUGUGGCCUUUGGACUUUGGCUCUCACUCGGCGUGAUAAGAUCACCCGUCGAGAUGUCGUCCUGGCCGACUAGGAAGGCUUGCUUCCAACCGUCCCUUGCGGACAACUUUGACAAUCUGACCUCAAAUCGGGUAGGACUACCCGCUGAACUUAA